rnacentral:lncRNA from 1 species
UAAUUUCUUUAAUAUAGAAGGUGUCGAAGCCUAAAGUCCUGAUAGAUGCUACCUAAUUAUGCAAUUUUACCAUUUUGUGCAAUUACAUGUAAAAUGAAGCUUUAACAUUAUUUUAUUAAUAACUAUCGGAUGUUACCGGACCAAAAAACCCUUAGCAUUUGUCUCGCAUUGUUUCGUUUUGUAGUCGAGGACCUUAUCAAGUUAUUAUCUAUUUUAUACACCAGCCAUAUAUUUGAU